ACGGGGGGAGCAAGCGUUGUUCGGAUUUACUGGGCGUAAAGGGCGCGUAGGCGGUAGCACAAGUCAGUUGUGAAAUCUCCGGGCUUAACUCGGAAAGGUCAACUGAUACUGUGCGACUAGAGUGCAGAAGGGGCAACUGGAAUUCUCGGUGUAGCGGUGAAAUGCGUAGAUAUCGAGAGGAACACCUGCGGCGAAGGCGGCCUUCUGGUCCAGUACUGACACUCAAGUGCGAAAGCGUGGGGAGCAAACAGGA
rnacentral:rRNA from 1 species